UACGUAGGGUGCAAGCGUUAUCCGGAAUUAUUGGGCGUAAAGAGCUCGUAGGCGGUCUGUCGCGUUCUGCUGUGAAAACUGGAGGCUCAACCUCCAGCCUGCAGUGGGUACGGGCAGACUAGAGUGCGGUAGGGGAGAUUGGAAUUCCUGGUGUAGCGGUGGAAUGCGCAGAUAUCAGGAGGAACACCGAGUGGCGAAGGCAGAUCUCUGGGCCGUAACUGACGCUGAGGAGCGAAAGCGUGAGGAGCGAACAGG
rnacentral:rRNA from 1 species